CGGCAUUCUACCCAAAGCCUCGCAGUUUCACGAAGCUACCAGUGUCAUUGAAGUUCUGGAAAUUCUUACCCCGCCCAAUGGGACGAUCUGCUCCUCAGCACUCGUCAGGGUCUUUUUUCAAGAAUCUCCUCAACAAAAAAGCAAUUUGGACUGCAGCUAAUUGCAAACACUCCUGGAGAAGAAUUAAAGUAAAACAAUAAACUGUGCGCGGAUGACAAAGACCUGAAAUGGCCGUGGUUAAGGACCUGGUAAGAGACAUAUCCUCUGAGCUGUUCAGGAGCCCAACAGGGAAAUCGCAACGUUAAUUCAAGGUCAAGCCCUAGAACUGAAACAAGAAGGCAGAAAGUCACCUUGUGUGGCCUCAGCUGGAAAUGUGCACAUCAGGUGACUCAGAUCUGCUGCUGCUCUCUGCACAGCCAGCAAUGGAAGCGAAGGUGCCCUCGGCGUUGACCUUGGAGUUACAAGGAAAUUUGAGUGAGUAGACAUCCUGGCGAGUGUAGCUGUGCCCUAGUGGCCUGAAUUGGCGUCUUCCCAGUAACUGAUGAGUUUGGGCGCCUUUGCGUAUGUGUCGGCCGUGUGCAUGUUUGUUUCUAGACAUGCCUACCUAUGUUUCUCUGCUUGUCUGUUUUUUCUAAUUGAUUUGUAAAAAAGUUAGUUUUGUAUUUGGAACAUGAGUCCUUCAAAAGAUAGAUAUAUGUUUUGUAAAUAUCUUCUCCCACUCUGUAGUUUGCUUUCUUUUAAUGGUAUCUUUUGAUGAAAGAGUGU